UCAAAUAAUAGGCGAUUUAAGUUUAAAUACAAAGUGUUUGAAAAGGAUUAAUGAAAGCAAGGUUUUGAAAAGAGUUACAAUCUAAGCAUUCGUAUGAAUGUAAAUGGGGUGUCCUUUUUUUGUUUGUAAUAUAGAUCACAUCAAUGCAAUAGGCGGUAUGAAAUACCUUAAAGAUAGGGACUAUAUGCGGUAUUAGCAUACCGGUCCUCAUAUUCAUAUCUAUCCUUUCCCAUCCUAUAAAGUUAAUUAAAGUAAAGUUUGGUCUCAACCCUUAUUUCUUGUUGUUACCUGUCCCUUCCUAUUAGUCUCCGAGGAAUUUAGGACUCCUAUUCUUAUAAGAAAGAGGUUCUAGGCAGAACCUUUGGUUUAAAGGAAAAAAAUACUAAAGCAGCAUAUAAAACAUAUAAGACUGCACUUGGGGAGGGGGGGUGAGAGGUCAUAUAAGCAAGUAGAAGGCUUAUGUAUACCUCCACAACCAAUGCAUAGAGAUAGCAUGACUAGUGCACAA
rnacentral:lncRNA from 1 species